rnacentral:rRNA from 1 species
UACGUAGGCAGCAAGCGUUGUUCGGAAUUAUUGGGCGUAAAGAGUGUGUAGGCGGUGUUCCAAGUCUGUUGUGAAAUCUCCCGGCUUAACUGGGAGGGUGCGGCGGAAACUGGAAUGCUAGAGUAUGGGAGAGGUAAGCGGAAUUCCUGGUGUAGCGGUGAAAUGCGUAGAUAUCAGGAGGAACACCUGUGGUGUAGACAGCUUACUGGACCAUCACUGACGCUGAGACACGAAAGCGUGGGUAGCAAACAGG